ACAAACAGCAAAGGGCUGCAGUCAGAUACAUUCCUCAGGCCGCUACACCUCCCACCAGCAGCCAACACCCCUGACAAAGGGAGAGGGUUAUUCUAGAGUGGAAACAGUCAAGCCAGCUGAUUUUGCCAGCAUCCUCACACUCGGACACCUCUGACCACGAGUGGCCACCAGUGCUGUGCCUGGCAGCGAGCCACAGGAAUUGGGGCCACUUGCAGUGGAAGUGCUGCACAGCCUGGAGCCCAAAACUCCGAGAGAAGAAUGACACUGGUCCCUGUCCCCAGCCCUCCAACCAGCAAGGGAACUCCUGUGCUGCACAAUCAAGCCAGGGGCCUGACAGGCUUUGAACACAAGCACAUGGAAGUGAGAGUCUGCCACUGAAAGCAAGUUGGUGACUUUACUACACUCGGAUGUCACCUUAUGGAAGAAAGACCUACACUGAUGGUCCCUGAAACUGUCUGCCCAUGCUUCAUUGUCUGUGUCGCCUCUAGUGCAAAGCAGUGUGAAACCACAGUGGGAGCCUGUCACGAGUCAUUCUCGUGCAUCGAGGAGAAACUGAACACAGGCUAAAGUGAAAAAGGCUACAGGUAUUUCAGAACAAGUGUCUAGAUAAGGAAUCAUACUAGCAGCAGCCAGCGAGUCCUUCCUAUUUAACAAAAGUCCUUAGAAGCUUUUUGCCCUGAGAAGUGGCUACAGAAAAAACAACAGCAAAAAACCCAACACUAUUUGCUACUCUGCUUUAUCUGCAGUUUGUCAAUAACAAAAAACCCAUAUCUUCCUCGAGCUUUCUUUGCACACAGAGGACACAAAGCCCAGCCCUCCCCAUCCUCCCCCAGCUGACUCUCGAGCUCAGCCUGAUGCAAUGCUGUGACAUCCUCAGGCCUGGCACAAUGCGCUUCCAUCAGCUCGGGGCUUUCUCCCUGAACAAGGACAACGUUCAGCAGCAGCCUGUCUCUGAACUGCGAACUACUGGCAUUGCUUUUAAUCCAACUUGUUGCUUAAUUGUGUUUAAGAGAUCUCUGCCCUUCCCCUCAAGAUUGAUCUUUAAUGUUUACUUGCAGUGGAAAAAACAAUCCCAUUAAGUUUUGUGUUAUCAAAGCACAAAAGAUUGGUAAGUAUGGUAUAUUGCACCUCCCAGUACCCUGAACUUCAGCCUACGUCCUCAGGUUUUAGCGUGUGAUGUAGAGAGGACCUGAGUUUCCAAGAUCAUUUGGCAGCUUUGACUCCUUUGCCCAGCAGUACACAGUCAUAAAUGCCCUUUUUGGUUUCAGACAAGAACAAACCACAAUCUAUCAGGCAUUACAAAGCUCACUGUUCCCAUAUGAGCAAAGAAAACAUUGGUUUGCUAGUAGAAAAGAUAUAACAGUUGUCUUGCCUGACUGCUGGAUGAAUAUUUUGUCGUUAGCUGCUGUAAGGGAACUGUCAGGUCACAGCUUGAACAGGUGAUUGAGCACCAGGUGAAGGGGAGUAGCUGCUGGCCCAGGGAGCACAGGAAUUGUUUGCACCUGUGCUCCCCAUGUGACCAGAAGGGGUGGACCCAGGGUAGGGUGGAGCUCCCCUGGGCUCAUAUAAGGCUCAGCCACUGAAGGGAGAGCAUCUCUUGGAUGUUUCCUGAGGAGGAGUGCUACACAGCCAGUGAGCCCCUUCACCAAUUGGGAGAAACAUCCCUGCUGCAGUCAGAAGCAAGCACUGAGAAGAACAGAUUCUCAUGCAGACAGCUGGCCUGAAGCACGUUCCCCUUCUCCACCUCUGCAAUGAAGAGAAGUUACUUCUGGCACAGGAGUAAGAGCAGGCAGCAGAAGGCAUUCAUCACUGCAGGGAGACUCACCAGAACUUGUUGGGACCCUGGAGUAUCUCAGCACCUACCCUUUGUUCACAAAAGCUUUGGCCAGUAAAUAGCCAAGUAAUGCUUCCUGGGAAGAGGCUGCUUCCUUGCUUUAUGCUACAGCCUAUUAGCAUCACAUUAAAUGACUUCUAAAAUAA